UGACCUCAAAUCAGGUAGGGCUACCCGCUGAACUUAAGCAUAUCAAUAAGCGGAGGAAAAGAAACUAACAAGGAUUCCCCUAGUAACGGCGAGUGAACAGGGAAGAGCUCAAAUUUGUAAUCUGGCGUCCUUUGGGCGUCCCGAGUUGUAAUCUAUAGAAGCGUUUUC
rnacentral:ncRNA from 1 species